GACGAACGCUGGCGGCGUGCUUAACACAUGCAAGUCGAACGGAAAGGCCCUGCUUGCAGGGUACUCGAGUGGCGAACUGGUGAGUAACACGUGGGUGAUCUGCCCUGCACUUCGGGAUAAGCUUGGGAAACUGGGUCUAAUACCGGAUAGGACCGCACUUUAGUGUGUGUGGUGGAAAGUUUUUUCGGUGUAGGAUGAGCUCGCGGCCUAUCAGCUUGUUGGUGGGGUAAUGGCCUACCAAGGCGGCGACGGGUAGCCGGCCUGAGAGGGUGUACGGCCACAUUGGGACUGAGAUACGGCCCAGACUCCUACGGGAGGCAGCAGUGGGGAAUAUUGCACAAUGGGCGCAAGCCUGAUGCAGCGACGCCGCGUGGGGGAUGAAGGCCUUCGGGUUGUAAACUCCUUUCGCUAGGGACGAAGCUUUUUGUGACGGUACCUAGAUAAGAAGCACCGGCUAACUACGUG
rnacentral:rRNA from 1 species